rnacentral:lncRNA from 1 species
CUUGGAGGAAUUGGGUUCUUCAAUUUUCACGGAUCUUGGAGGAACUGGGUCAUAUAUCUGUAAGUUUAGUCAUCAGUGCUUCGAUCUCUUUUUUUUUUUUCGUAUAUCUCUCUUUCACUCUUCCAACUAUCUUCUCACCGUCAUUUUUCUACGCAUUUUGGAGAAUCGAUUUUCAAGCGGAUUGGAGGAACCGGGUUCUUCGAUUUUCACGGAUCUUGGAGGAAUUGGGUCAUAUAUCUGUUAGUUUAGUCAUCAGUGCUUCAAUCUCUUAUUUUUUUCGUAUAUCAAUUUAUUAUUUUUCAAAUUUUGGAGUCGCAUUGUUUAAUUUAUGUUGUUUUCGGGGUUUUUUUUCCUUUUUUUUUCUUGAUUUCAUCUUUGAAGGAGUCAUCCCCAAAAUACGUGCAGUAAUGUUUAAGGGAUCGUUAGGUCACUGUGAAUUUGUUUUUCAGUUUCUUCAAAUGUGGUUUUCAAUAUGAACUUCCUUUUUCAGCCGGUAAGUUUUGACCCCCAAAUAUGUAUAAUUAUGCUUUAGGGACUGUUAAAGAGUUUAUGAUGUUGUGUAUGUGCUUUUGAUUUCUUUCAAAUGACCUGUAAAUAUGUUUUUUCUUGUUAAGCAUGAGUUUAACGCCAAAUUUUUUUACCUUCUCUUGUAAAAUUGAAUUCUAACUACCUAAAGUCUAUUAUUUUGAUGGAAUGCCUAUUUUAGACUUCCUUUUUGUUCCUCUGAGUUUGAUCUUCACAUUAGAUGAGUUCAUUGUACGCUUUCCUUAAGUUUUUUCCUUUAAUUUUCUAUAUUUAUGUGAAUGUAGUGG